rnacentral:rRNA from 1 species
CACGUAGGUGGCACUGUAAGUCAGAGGUGAAAGCCCUCGGCUCAACCGAGGAAUAGCCUCUGAAACUGCUUUGCUUGAGUCCGGGAGGGGGGAGCGGAAUUCCCAGUGUAGCGGUGAAAUGCGUAGAUACUGGGAGGAACACCGGUGGCGAAGGCGGCUCCCUGGACCGGUACUGACACUGAGGUGCGAAAGCGUGGGUAGCAAACA